rnacentral:misc_RNA from 1 species
UACGGGGGGGGCAAGCGUUGUUCGGAAUUACUGGGCGUAAAGCGCUCGUAGGUGGCCGACUAAGUCGGACGUGAAAGCCCUCGGCUCAACCGGGGAAUGGCGUCCGAGACUGGUCGGCUGGAGUCUGGGAGAGGGAUGUGGAAUUCCAGGUGUAGCGGUGAAAUGCGUAGAUAUCUGGAGGAACACCGGUGGCGAAGGCGGCAUCCUGGACCAGUACUGACACUGAGGAGCGAAAGCCAGGGGAGCAAACGGG